AUGGCUGAUGUGCCAGCCAAGUUUGGGGACCAUGAACCAAAAUAUACAGAUGAUUCUAUCCUGAAUGGGGCCGUGUCUCGCCACCACUGCCCAGGCCAGGCAUGGUGUUGGGCGCCAGGCCUUCCUCACCUGUCUUGGGGUGCCCAGGGUAAAGGCAGGAUUAACGUUGACACCUGUAAGCAAACUGAAGUGCAGUGCGAUGACAGUCUCAAAGGGUCUGGGACGUCAGCCAUAGCAUCCGGCCCUACUCAGAGGGUUCUGUGAGAGAUAAGUUGAUUGUUAAAAGAGAUUGCAGAGCUUGAGCUUAUUUACCUUGUACAUGUCAAGUGUAUUUCCUGUUCUAAAAAGCUUCAUUGCUUUCUGCUGACUGUAACCCCAGACGAGGGUUACUACUAGGGUGGAAAAUUUCAGCUCGAAACUGGGCUUCCUGAUGCAUACAACGUGGUGCCUUCCAAAGUGAAAUGCCUGACCAGGAUCUGGUACCCUAACAUCACAGAGAUGGGGGAAGUAUGUCUAAAGUUUACUGAGGACAUUCGUUUGACAGCACUGGCAAGACUCCCACGAGAACAUUAAAGGAUGUUAUUUGGAGAUUAAAUUAUUUGUUUACUAAUCUUAUGAAUUUUGAUGAUCCACUGAAUGUUGAAGCUGCAAAACAUCAUUUGUGGGACAAGGAGGACUUCUUGAAUAAAGUCUGACUACAUCAAGUGUUAAUGCCAGAUGAUAAAAGGAGAAGAUUGCAGGCCCGUGGACUAUGUGUUAAAGUUUGUCUCUAAUGUGAAAAAGCAGCAAGAGGCAUUGCCUUCUCUCCCCUGUCCCCUGACUCUCCCUCUCAUUCCCCUGGAUUGUCCCAGUCCUGUGACCAUGUUGUCCUGAAGAAGACCAUCUUCAUGACUGCCCAUUGUAGGUGGAGAAUUCAACAUGAAGACAGCAAGAAAACGUAUUUAGGUUUCUAAAGAGUUAUCUGCUUGUCUUAUGUUUUAGGCUGUUCUUGCAUUGCUAUAAAUACCCAAGACUGGGUGAUUUAUAAAGAAAAGAGGUGUAAUUGGCUUAUCGUUCUGCAGGCUGUACAAGCAUGGCACUGGCAUCUACUUGGCUUCUGGGGAGGCCUCAGGGAGCUUUUACUCAUGGUGGAAGGUGAAGCAGGAGCAGGCACAUCAUGUGGCGAGAGUGGAAACGAGAGUGCAAGGGGGACAGCCAGAUCUCAUGAGAACUUACUGUUGUGUUGAAAGCACCACACCGUGAGGGAUCCACCCCGAUGACCCAAAUACCUCCCACCAGGACUCACCUCCAACACUGGGGAUUACAUCUCAACACGAUAUUUGGAAGAGACGUCUAAACUAUAUCACCUUAACAUGUUUACUUUUUUGAACUCAUACUGUUUAGGCUGUUGGUGAUGCUCUUGAGAAGUUGUAAUGAACUCAAAAUUGAGGCUGGAGCUUUCUUAUUCUUUUCCCCAACAAAAUUGGUUUUCUCCUGAAGUGAUGCUCAUGAUGUGUUCAGUGUUAACUUGCAGAUUGGAAUAAGAAACCUAUUACAGAUUGUGAUUGUAUACAAAUGCCCUUAGUAUCCUCUGUGAAUGUUGGCCCUAUCUAUCUACAUGUGAAGUUUCCCAGAAUGCAUAAAGUCUUUCACUGGAGACAUUUUUAUUGAAAUGCGUAUUUUAUUUAAGUAUAUUUUGGACCAAUUAAAUUAAAUUUUUACAAUGUAAUGCUUUA